UUUAAGUACUUUUAAUGCUCAUUUAAUGCGAUCUAACGGCUCUUUUUCAGCUUAGAAUGUUUUCCUCUAUUUCUUAAAGCUAUAAAAGGAACAAAAAGGUGAAAAACAAAGAAGAAAAAGAAAGAGAUUUAAAGAGCAUUCAAGAGAGCAUUGAAGAGCAUUCAAAAGAGAGAAUUUGAAAAAGAGUUUCUCAAGCCAACUUUUCAGCCCUAAUCAAGAGCUCAUUCAAAGCUUUCAAGAAGCCUUCAAUCCAAGCUCACCAACUCCUCAAGCGCUCAAUCAAGU
rnacentral:lncRNA from 1 species